rnacentral:rRNA from 1 species
AGAGUUUGAUCCUGGCUCAGGAUGAACGCUAGCGACAGGCCUAACACAUGCAAGUCGAGGGGCAUCGGGGCGAGGAGCAAUCCUUGCCGCCGGCGACCGGCGCACGGGUGAGUAACGCGUAUGCGACCUGCCCGUUGCAGGGGGAUAAUCGGGAGAAAUCCCGUCUAAUACCGCGUAAUGCCGCGGGGCUGCAUGGCCCUGCGGCCAAAGGGAGCGAUUCCGGCAACGGAUGGGCAUGCGUGACAUUAGCUAGUUGGCGGGGCAACGGCCCACCAAGGCGACGAUGUCUAGGGGUUCUGAGAGGAAGGUCCCCCACACUGGUACUGAGACACGGACCAGACUCCUACGGGAGGCAGCAGUGAGGAAUAUUGGUCAAUGGGCGCGAGCCUGAACCAGCCAAGUCGCGUGAGGGAUGACGGCCCUACGGGUUGUAAACCUCUUUUGUCGGGGAGCAAAUUCCGUUACGUGUAACGGAGUCGAGAGUACCCGAAGAAAAAGCAUCGGCUAACUCCGUGCCAGCAGCCGCGGUAAUACGGAGGAUGCGAGCGUUAUCCGGAUUUAUUGGGUUUAAAGGGUGCGUAGGCGGACUGUCAAGUCAGCGGUAAAAUACGGGGGCUCAACCUCCGCCCGCCGUUGAAACUGACGGUCUUGAGUGGGCGAGAAGUAUGCGGAAUGCGUGGUGUAGCGGUGAAAUGCAUAGAUAUCACGCAGAACUCCGAUUGCGAAGGCAGUAUACCGGCGCCCAACUGACGCUGAAGCACGAAAGCGUGGGUAUCGAACAGGAUUAGAUACCCUGGUAGUCCACGCAGUAAACGAUGAAUACUAGCUGUCCGGGGCGAAUGAGCCCUGGGUGGCACAGCGAAAGCGUUAAGUAUUCCACCUGGGGAGUACGCCGGGCAACGGUGAAACUCAAAGGAAUUGACGGGGGCCCGCACAAGCGGAGGAACAUGUGGUUUAAUUCGAUGAUACGCGAGGAACCUUACCCGGGCUCAAACGACACAGGAACGUACCUGAAAGGGUUCGGCUCUACGGAGCCUGUGUCGAGGUGCUGCAUGGUUGUCGUCAGCUCGUGCCGUGAGGUGUCGGCUUAAGUGCCAUAACGAGCGCAACCCCCAUCGACAGUUGCUAACAGGUCAGGCUGAGGACUCUGUCGAGACUGCCGGCGCAAGCUGCGAGGAAGGCGGGGAUGACGUCAAAUCAGCACGGCCCUUACGUCCGGGGCGACACACGUGUUACAAUGGCAGGUACAGCGGGAAGCCACCUGGCGACAGGGAGCGGAACUCGAAAGCCUGUCUCAGUUCGGAUUGGAGUCUGCAACCAGACUCCAUGAAGCUGGAUUCGCUAGUAAUCGCGCAUCAGCCAUGGCGCGGUGAAUACGUUCCCGGGCCUUG